rnacentral:lncRNA from 1 species
GAGAAGGAAAAAAACAGCUUCAUUGUUUUGCCAGGCAAAGGGGGCCACAGCAGGCUAAUGCCUUAAAGACUGUGCCCCAAUAUCACACUUUUGAUUCCUGUAGCUUUGUAAUAUGUUUGAAAUCAAGGAGUGUGAGGCGUCCAGCUUUGUUCUUGCUCAAGAUUUUUUUGGCUAUUCAGAAUCCUUUGAUUCCAUAUGAGUUUUAGGAUUUUUUUUUCCUUCUCUAUGAAAAAAUGUCAUUGAAAUGCUGAUAGGGAUUGCAUCUUACCUGUCGACUGCUUUGGACACUACUGCUAUUUUAACAGUAUUUGGUCUUUCAAUCCAUGAUUGCAGGAUGUCUUUCCAUUUAUUUGUAUCUCCUGUAAUUUCUUUCAGCAAUAUUUUGUAGUUUUCAUUGUACAAGUCUUUUCACCAUCCUGGUUAGGUUUAUUCCUAGGUGUUUUAUUCUUUUUGAUGCUGUUGUAAGUGGGAUUGUUUUCCUAAUUUCCGUUUCUUUCUUUCUUUCUUUUUUGGCUGCACCCAUAGCAUCUGGAAGCUUCUGGGCCAGGGAAUGAACAUGUGCCACAGCUGUGGCAAUGCCAAAGCCUUAACCCACUGUGCCACACAGGAACUUCCUUAAUUUCUUUUUUCAAAUAUAAUUUUACUUCUUCCUUCCUAAUAUGGGUGGCUUUUAUUUCUUUUUCUCGCCUAAUUGCUCUGACUAGAAUUUCCAAUACUAUGUUGAAUAGAAGUGGCAAGAGGAGUUCCUGUCGUGGUGCAGCAGAAAUGAAUCCGACUAGGAACCAUGAGGUUGUGGGUUUGAUCCUUGGCCUCACUCAGUGGGUUAAGGAUCUGGCGUUGCCGUGAGCUGUGGUCUAGAUCGCAGAUGCGGUUCGGAUCUGGUGUUGCUGUGGCUGUCAUGUAGGCUGGCAGCUGUAGCUUCAAUUAGACCCCUAGACUGGGAACCUCCAUAUGCCACGACUGUGGCUCUAAAAAGCAAAAAAAAGGGGGGGGGCAAGAAAUGGGCAUCUUUGCCUUGUUCCUCAUUCUAAAGGAAAAUUUUCGAUUGUUCACCAUUGAAUAUGAUGUCAUCUAUGAGCUGACAUGGUUUCCUUCUAUUCCUAGUUCACUGAGUGUUGUUACCACAGACGUGUGUUAAAUUUUGUCAAAUGUUUUUUCUGUAUCAACUGAAAUGAUCAUGUGAUUUUUGUCCUUCAUUCUGUUAAUGUGAUGUAUUACAUUUAUUGAUUUUUGUAUAUUGAAUCAUUCUUGCAUCCCAGGUUGUCGUAGCAUAGAAUGUUUUUGUUCUUUCUCAAGAUUUUUUUGGCUAUUCCGAAUCCUUUGAUUCCAUACGAGUUUUAGGACUUUUUUCCUUCUCUAUGAAAAAAAUGUCAUUGAAAUGUUAAUAGGGAUUGCAUCUUACCUGUAGACUGCUUUGUCUAAAGUCCCACCUUGUCAUAGUGUAGAAUG